UCCAGCAUCCUAUUAAAACCAAACUCCUUCGCUAAUGAGCAAUUUCACAGCUGUCUGAUGAUUAUGGUUGUGUGUGUGCUUUUUUCUUGUCUAGACACAACCUUUAACUCAAUGUUCUGAAUCUCUUUCCUUACUUUGGUUUUCUUUCCAGAUUAUGAAGUCUGUUUUUCCAAACUCCAUAGCAAAAGUUCAGGUUCAAUGGACAAUCUUCCUUCAAAAUUCUCCUACUCCUGCUCUCUGUCCAGAUCCCAAAACACAAGAGCUUUCUUGGAGAGUUACAGGAAUUCAGCCGCAUGGAAAAGGCAAGCAGUAUGAGAGCCAAGGAACUCAACACGAACCGCCAUGUUAAGUUCUGUGCUGUGAAACUCUGCAAAUAUCACUUCCUGCUGUAAAUAUCACUAUCCUGGUCUACCAGAAUUGAUUUAGUCACAUUUGAGAAAGGCAAGAAGAAAAUGGUCCCCCUACUGAGAAAUAAUUACCUUCAUUUUAUGCCAAAUAA